CUCUGCUGGCACCAAGUGCUUGUGCAGAGGAACUGACCCAAAGUAUAAUUUCCUUCAGCCACAUAUUAGUAACCUAUUCAGAAUAUGCUUAAUGUGAAAAAAAAAACCUUUCCUUUUAGGAAAAUAAAAACACUUUAUGAAGGACCCUGAAUGUGCUCCAAUGAUUCUAGACAAAGAACUCCAUUUCUAGAAGAUUCAAAAAUCU
rnacentral:lncRNA from 1 species